rnacentral:rRNA from 1 species
UAAUACGAAGGGUGCUAGCGUUGUUCGGAAUUACUGGGCGUAAAGCGUACGUAGGCGGUUUGGUAAGUCGAUUGUGAAAGCCCUGGGCUCAACCCGGGAGCUGCAACCGAAACUGCCUUACUUGAAUUUGGUAGGGGAUGGCGGAAUUUCUAGUGUAGGGGUGAAAUCCGUAGAGAUUAGAAAGAACACCAGUGGCGAAGGCGGCCAUCUAUGCCAAUAUUGACGCUAAGGUACGAAAGCGUGGGGAGCAAACAGG